rnacentral:sRNA from 1 species
UUGGUGGUCUGUGUUUCAGGGCAGAUUGUUUUGUAAAAAGGUCCUUCAGCAUUUAGAAUCAUAAAAUCAUAGGAACAAUUACUUGAGCUGGAAGCAGUGACAUGGAGGCCUCUUUUCUCAUUUAUAGAUGAUAAAACUGCAGCCUGAAAGCUUAAGGGAAAGUUCAGAAUAUCUAGGUCAAUUUUUUUAGAUGCCAGAUUUCUUGAAUCUCAACCCAUGCCUUUAGCGUUAUCACUUGAUGGACCAUAAGGAAGAACUAUGUAAUGCCGAAUUUUGAAUUUAAUGAGUAAGGUGUUAGGGUAAUGCUAUCAGGUAUUAUCAGGACAAAUCUUUCUGUCAUGGAAAAUAACUUUGCACAGAACAAUAUCUUCUGAGCUGGUGUUAUCAUAGUUGGAAAUCUGAACAGCUUAAGCCGAACCAGUACUGCUCUCCCUGCUGAUUCCUACCAGAUCGGGGCCAUUGC